CUUGCCAAGAAGUUGUUCAUCAAGCUUGAAGAGUUUUGCCAGAACUUUGAAGAGGAGACUGGGCGGAUCGAACCAGAUAUGCAAGGGUCGCAACUCUAAAAAAGACUUCUGUUGUUGGAGAAGGAAUUAAUCCAUCACAGUGCUCCCUAAGAGGGCACAACCUGCUGCUAUGGUUCCUGAAACGACAUCAUUCUCUGCAAUCCAGUACAUGGGGACCUGCUCAGGAUGUGCCAGGUAAGAUCAUUUCAAAGCAGAGGGUGGCAAAUUUGAUGCAGUGAUUGCUGUCAAAUGGGCCGAGGUAAUUCUUUCCUGCAGAUAUGCUAUGGAUAAACAUGUAACAGUCCAUUGUUUUACUGAUUGUGUUGUCCUCGAUGAUUCACAUCUCAGAAUUUGUAAUGUAGCUGACAUGAUAGUAUCAUAUUAUUUUACUAUGAAGAACCCUUGAAUAGUUAUAAAGAAAUACUCGGUUCAACUA